GCAAUGCCUUAGUAACGGCGAAGUGAAGCGGCAAAAGCUCAAAUUUGAAAUCUGGUACCUUCGGUGCCCGAGUUGUAAUUUGGAGAGGGCAACUUUGGGGCCGUUCCUUGUCUAUGUUCCUUGGAACAGGACGUCAUAGAGGGUGAGAAUCCCGUGUGGCGAGGAGUGCGGUUCUUUGUAAAGUGCCUUCGAAGAGUCGAGUUGUUUGGGAAUGCAGCUCUAAGUGGGUGGUAAAUUCCAUCUAAAGCUAAAUAUUGGCGAGAGACCGAUAGCGAACAAGUACAGUGAUGGAAAGAUGAAAAGAACUUUGAAAAGAGAGUGAAAAAGUACGUGAAAUUGUUGAAAGGGAAGGGCAUUUGAUCAGACAUGGUGUUUUGUGCCCUCUGCUCCUUGUGGGUAGGGGAAUCUCGCAUUUCACUGGGCCAGCAUCAGUUUUGGUGGCAGGAUAAAUCCAUAGGAAUGUAGCUUGCCUCGGUAAGUAUUAUAGCCUGUGGGAAUACUGCCAGCUGGGACUGAGGACUGCGACGUAAGUCAAGGAUGCUGGCAUAAUGGUUA
rnacentral:rRNA from 1 species